rnacentral:rRNA from 1 species
UGGGGUAUAUUGGACAAUGGGGGGAACCCUGAUCCAGCCAUGCCGCGUGUGUGAAGAAGGCCUUAUGGUUGUAAAGCACUUUAAGCGAGGAGGAGGGUACUGGUAUUAAUACUACCAGGUACUGGACGUUACUCGCAGAAUAAGCACCGGCUAACUCUGUGCCAGCAGCCGCGGUAAUACAGAGGGUGCGAGCGUUAAUCGGAUUUACUGGGCGUAAAGCGUGCGUAGGCGGCUAAUUGAGUCGGAUGUGAAAUCCCCAAGCUUAACUUGGGAAUUGCAUUCGAUACUGGUUAGCUAGAGUGUGGGAGAGGAUGGUAGAAUUCCAGGUGUAGCGGUGAAAUGCGUAGAGAUCUGGAGGAAUACCGAUGGCGAAGGCAGCCAUCUGGCCUAACACUGACGCUGAGGUACGAAAGCAUGGGGAGCAAACAGG